CCGGGCUAGCUGACGUGCUGUUGCUGCUGCCUGUCGGCCCGCUACUCCGCCUCGGCACGCCGCCGACACCGGCAGGAUCUGCGUCGAGUUUGAGGGUAGGGCUGGUCCUCAUCCUCCUCCUCCUUUCACCUUCCCUUGGUCACAGAGUUCGGUUGGCGGCUCCAACCAUGCGGCCCAAGGUGAAUUGGAAAUCACACCGACGCCUCAUACGUCAGCUCAGCAAAGCGCGAACAUGGGGAACCAACGCGCGUUGUUCCAGGAUGUGCAACAUGAUGCCCCUUGAUCAUCACCGGCGUGGCCAACAUGUAAAGCCCUUGAUCAUCAUGGUUUUCAUGUGUUUGCGGUGGACAUGUGGCUAGCUUUGCCUUAUCUAUAUGGUGUUUAUGUACUUUGCACUAUGGAUAUGUAACCGCUAUGGACUAUAUGACUUCUUUGAACAUUUGAUGGACUAUGUGACUUGUAUGGACAUUUGAUGAACUAUGUGACUUCUAUGGACAUUUGAUGAUCUAUUUUGUUGUUAUUUAUGUGGUUAUGAUGA